rnacentral:tRNA from 1 species
GAGGGAAUAGCUCAGUGAUAGAGCUGCUUGCUUGGCAUGCACAAGGCCCUGGGUUCAAUUCCCAGUACCUUCG